rnacentral:rRNA from 1 species
AACGAACGCUGGCGGCAUGCCUAACACAUGCAAGUCGAACGAGAUCUUCGGGUCUAGUGGCGCACGGGAGCGUAACGCGUGGGAAUCUGCCCUUUGGUUCGGAAUAACAGUUGGAAACGACUGCUAAUACCGGAUGAUGACGAAAGUCCAAAGAUUUAUCGCCAGAGGAUGAGCCCGCGUAGGAUUAGCUAGUUGGUGUGGUAAAGGCGCACCAAGGCGACGAUCCUUAGCUGGUCUGAGAGGAUGAUCAGCCACACUGGGACUGAGACACGGCCCAGACUCCUACGGGAGGCAGCAGUGGGGAAUAUUGGACAAUGGGCGAAAGCUUGAUCCAGCAAUGCCGCGUGAGUGAUGAAGGCCUUAGGGUUGUAAAGCUCUUUUACCCGGGAUGAUAAUGACAGUACCGGGAGAAUAAGCUCCGGCCAACUCCGUGCCAGCAGCCGCAGUAA